AUUCUUCUUCAGUCCAAACAUGGAAUACGUCUCAGAUUCCGCAUCUUGAAUCACUAGGAAUCCCGAGUUCGGACCAUCAGGUGCUGCUGCAAGAUUCUCUGCAGAUUUUUGCAGCACAGACAGAGGCCUUGUUACUUCCAUAUUCUCGCCGGAGGCGACGCCGGCGAUGAUGACGCCGGAGCCGGCGACGAAAUCGCAAACCAGAUCCCAAAUUGCAAAGCAGAUCGCAAAUGAACAGAUCCAAAUCACAAGAAAUGAACUAAAUUAGAUCACAAAGCAGAUCGCAAAUGAACAGAAAUAAAUCCGAAAUCGCACAUCGCAGAUCCCAAGUUGCAAAUUGCAAACCAAAUCACAAGAAGUUGGGUCAGAUUUGUUCGAUAGAGAUCUGAGCAAGGGAGAAGAGGAGAGCUUCGUGCCAAACCCGGGAAAGGAGAGAGAAGCAGAGGUUGCGGCUGAUUUGCAAACCAAAAUGGAAAAGUGACCACUUUUAGUGGGACAAACCAAAAUGGAAAGGUGGUCACAUUUAUUGGGACGGAGGGAGUAUAUCGCAUGUACUUCUUGAUUACUUAAUAAAUACUGAUGAUAAAUUGACCUGUAUACUGUAUACUACGUGUUGAUUUUAUAUUGGUUAAGCAAAUUCUGACCUUGUACUCAUAACUAUUUGACUAGUAGUAUUAUAUUUGGAGUAGACUAUUCUGCCC